UGGGUACCUCUUAGUUUUUCUGUUGGUAGAGCCUAAGAAUAAUUACUGAAUCUUUUUUAUGUGAUGGCCAUUUUAUUUUCCUAUUUCAAUUUGUCUUGUGGAUUUAAGAACUUAAUCAAUUACAUCAUUGCAUCGGUUAUGCCAUUGCAGGAGCUGAAGCUAUGUUUGUUGAUCUAGGACAUUUCUCUGUACGAGCCAUACAGAUUGCCUUCUCUUUUGUGGUGUUCCCAUGCCUCCUUUUUGCUUACAUGGGUCAAGCUGCUUAUCUUAUGAAAUACCCUGAUUCUUCUCAUAGAAUAUUCUAUGAUUCUGUACCAGGUGACCGUCCAACAUCAUGGCUACCUAUUCAUUUCAAUUUUACUCUAGUUGUUUCAUAGGGGACAUCUCUUGGCGUUUGGUGCAUUAUUCUGACACUUCCCGUUCUCGAAUUGUGUGGAGAAACAGAUAGUCUUUUUUGGCCAGUCAUUGUGAUAGCCACACUUGCAGCGAUGAUUGCCAGCCAAGCAAUGAUAUCUGCUACAUUUUCAUGUGUCAAGCAAUCUAUGGCUCUUGGAUGCUUUCACCUUUUCUUCCUUUUCUAUUUUUCUUGCCCAUUGAGAUACUGAUCUGGGAAGGUUUCAGAUUCUCUUUUAAACGUUUUGCUAGUUUUCAGCCCGACUGUAUUGAGUUAUGUCUCCUUUCCUUGGUCCACUUCAUGUUCUCACAAUUGUGUGGGGAAGCCUCCUGACUGGCAAGAUUUUGCGGUUAUUAUUACUCUGCUGGUCAUCAACUCCACCAUUAGUUUCAUCAAGGAAAAUAAUGCGGGUAAUGCUGCAGCAGCUCUCAUGGCUCGUCUUGCUCUUAAAGCCAAGAAAUGGUCCGAGAUCAUUGGGCAAGCACGCCAAAGUGUCGAAGUUCUUAAAGAUCAGGAAGUGAUUCGAACCGUUCUUAAUAUAUUACAGACAAACACAAGGGUUGCCAGCUCUCUUGGAACAUUUCUCUUAACCCAGAUUUCAUUGAUCUUUUUCAACAUGCUUAAUGUCUACAGGUAUAACCAACAUUUUCAGAUGUUAGUCGAGUUUCAGUUGUCCAGUUAUAUAUCUUCAUUUCAAAUAUUGUAGUGAUAUGCAUGGAUAUAUUUAUUUUCAACAGGAUCUAUAGUGAGCUUAAUUGUAUCUAGUACUAUUGCUGAAGGGGGGCCUUUCGCUUCUAAAACAUCCUAUGUAAAAUAUUGUAGUCACUGUGGUUGCUUGCAUCCCAAUCUGGUUUAUCACCGUACCACUUGUGCAUUUAUAAUAUAAAGUAAUACCUAUGGGUAUGGUUUCCCUAUAAUCUUUUUUGUUUUCUGAUUAAGAGUUUGGUUGUCUGCAGUCAAUUUCACUGAGUGUCCAUGUAACCAGUGAUGAGAAGGUAUGGAUCUAGAAGAUUCUAAAUUCAUCUGUGUGGAAGUGGAUAGCUUGGUAUAACUUAAUCUCAUUUUUAUUUUUGUUUUGCAUAAAGUAGUGCAAAGAUGGCCUUGCUUAUGGAAUGGUACACAAUGACCGUUUUACUUAUUUGCAAGCCUUUUGUUUUGUAUAUGGAGAAGUUUAGGCCAUAUGUCCCCUUCUCCCUACUCUUUGUACACUUUUUAUCAAAAAUAGUAUUAAUGAGAAUUUUCUUUUGGUUA